rnacentral:piRNA from 1 species
GCAGUGGUUUUCAACCGCGGAUGAGUGUUU